GAAGGGCACCACCAGGAGUGGAGCCUGCGGCUUAAUUUGACCCAACACGGGAAAUCUCACCAGGCCCGGACACCGGAAGGAUUGACAGAUUAACAGCUCUUUCUUGAUUCGGUGGGUGGUGGUGCAUGGCCGUUCUUAGUUGGUGGAGCGAUUUGUCUGGUUAAUUCCGGUAACGAACGAGACUCUAGCCUGCUAAAUAGGCGUCGUUAUUUAGGUGUGCGCGGCCUCGUGUCGCGCAACUCACUGACGACGUAUUAAAAUUCUUCUUAGAGGGACCGGCGUCUUCGAGCCGCACGAGAUUGAGCAAUAACAGGUCUGUGAUGCCCUUAGAUGUCCUGGGCCGCACGCGCGCUACACUGAAGGAAUCAGCAUGUUCUCCCUGGCCUAGAGGCCCGGGCAACCCGCUGAAACUCCUUCGUGCUGGGGAUUGGGGUUUGCAAUUAUCCCCCAUAAACGAGGAAUUCCUAGUAAGCGCGAGUCAUAAGCUCGCGUUGAUUACGUCCCUGCCCUUUGUACACACCGCCCGUCGCUACUAUCGAUUGAG
rnacentral:rRNA from 1 species